rnacentral:rRNA from 1 species
AACGUAGGAGGCUAGCGUUAUCCGGAUUUAUUGGGCGUAAAGCGCGUGCAGGCGGUUUGAUAAGUUGGAUGUGAAAUCUCCCGGCUUAACUGGGAGCGGUCGUUCAAAACUAUCAGACUAGAGAAUGGGAGAGGAAGGUGGAAUUCCGGGUGUAGUGGUGAAAUGCGUAGAGAUAUGGAGGAACACCAGUGGCGAAGGCGGCUUCCUGGUCUGUAACUGACACUGAGGCGCGAAAGCGUGGGGAGCAAACAGGAUUAGAUACCCGUGUAGUCCCU